rnacentral:misc_RNA from 1 species
GACGAACCGGCCAAACGUUAUUCGGAAUCAUUGGGCUUAAAGGGUGCGUAGGCGGUGCGGUAAGUUGGGUGUGAAAUCCCUCGGCUCAACCGAGGAAUUGCGCCCAAUACUGCCGUGCUUGAGGGAGACAGAGGCGAGCGGAACUGAUGGCGGAGCGGUGAAAUGCGUUGAUAUCAUCAGGAACACCAGUGGCGAAAGCGGCUCGCUGGGUCUCUUCUGACGCUGAGGUACGAAAGCUAGGGGAGCGAACGGG